rnacentral:rRNA from 1 species
CCUACGGGUGGCAGCAGUGAGGAAUAUUGGUCAAUGGACGAGAGUCUGAACCAGCCAAGUAGCGUGAAGGAUGACUGCCCUAUGGGUUGUACACUUCUUUUAUAAAGGAAUAAAACGAGGCACGUGUGCCGUUUUGCAAGUACUUUAUGAAUAAGCAUCGGCUAACUCCGUGCCAGCAGCCGCGGUAAUACGGAGGAUUCGAGCGUUAUCCGGAUUUAUUGGGUUUAAAGGGAGCGUAGAUGGGUUGUUAAGUCAGUGGUGAAAGUUUGGGGCUCAACCGUAAAAAUGCAAUUGAUACUGGCAGUCUUGAGUACAGAUGAGGUAGGCGGAAUACGUGGUGUAGCGGUGAAAUGCUUAGAUAGAACGAAGAACCCCGAUUGCGAAGGCAGCUUACUAAACUGUGACUGACAUUGAUGCACGAAAGUGUGGGUAUCAAACAGGAUUAGAUACCCGGGUAGUC